rnacentral:rRNA from 2 species
GCGGGAUGAGCUCAAAUUUAAAAUCUGGCUGGUUUACUAGUCCGAAUUGUAGUUUAAAGAAGCGUUUUCGGUGGCAGUCUCGGUAUAAAUCCUUUGGAAUAGGGUAUCAUAGAGGGUGAGAAUCCCGUCUUUGACUGAGAAUUUGCUACUAUGUGAUACGUUUUCAAAGAGUCGAGUUGUUUGGGAAUGCAGCUCAAAAUGGGUGGUAAAUUUCAUCUAAAGCUAAAUAUUGGCGAGAGACCGAUAGCGAACAAGUACCGUGAGGGAAAGAUGAAAAGAACUUUGAAAAGAGAGUUAAACAGUGCGUGAAAUUGUUGAAAGGGAAACGCUUGAAACCAGUCAUGUGGUUGGAAAAUCAGUGUUCAAUUGGGGGGAAUGGGGGAGGUGUGGACCGCAAGGCUGCUCUUUUCUAUAUCUCUUUUGUUGGGCAUGCACUUUUUCUGCCGCAGGUCAACAUCAGUUUCUUUUGCUGGACAAAACUCUUGAGAAGGUAGCAGCUUAGGCUGUGUUAUAGCUCUGGAGCGAUACAGUGAAGGGGACUGAGGUUUUCGCAGCAUGUGCUCUCGGGCAAGGCCAAUUGGGUGCUAUGGGAUCGUUCGGGGUACAAUACAUGUAUUUUGCUUCGUGUCCUUUCUAUACUCGUUCAAUUGAGCUC